rnacentral:rRNA from 1 species
GGGAGUACGAUCGCAAGGUUGAAACUCAAAGGAAUUGACGGGGGCCCGCACAAGCGGAGGAGCAUGUGGUUUAAUUCGAUGAUACGCGAGGAACCUUACCUGGGCUUAAAUGCAGAACGACCUCCCGAGAAAUCGGGACUUCCUUUCGGGACGGACUGCAAGGUGCUGCAUGGUUGUCGUCAGCUCGUGCCGUGAGGUGUCGGGUUAAGUCCCAUAACGAGCGCAACCCUUAUCCUUAGUUGCCAACAGGUAAUGCUGGGAACUCUAAGGAAACUGCCUACGCAAGUAGUGAGGAAGGUGGGGAUGACGUCAAAUCAGCACGGCCCUUAUGUCCAGGGCUACACACGUGCUACAAUGGUCGGUACAGAGGGCAGCUACCUGGCAACAGGAUGCUAAUCUCGAAAGCCGGUCUCAGUUCGGAUUGGAGUCUGCAACUCGACUCCAUGAAGUUGGAUUCGCUAGUAAUCGCGCAUCAGCCAUGGCGCGGUGAAUACGUUCCCGGGCCUUGUACACACCGCCCGUCAAGCCAUGGAAGCUGGGAGUACCUGAAGUCUGUUACCGCAAGGAGCGGCCUAGGGUAAAACCAGUAACUGGGGCUAAGUCUGUAACAAGGUAACCAAGGGCGAA